UGAGGAAUAUUGGACAAUGGGCGCAAGCCUGAUCCAGCCAUGCCGCGUGCAGGAUGACGGUCCUAUGGAUUGUAAACUGCUUUUUGUACAGGAAGAAACAGUUCUACGUGUAGAACCUUGACGGUACUGUAAGAAUAAGGAUCGGCUAACUCCGUGCCAGCAGCCGCGGUAAUACGGAGGAUCCAAGCGUUAUCCGGAAUCAUUGGGUUUAAAGGGUCCGUAGGCGGUUAGAUAAGUCAGUGGUGAAAGCCCAUCGCUCAACGGUGGAACGGCCAUUGAUACUGUCUGACUUGAAUUAUUAGGAAGUAACUAGAAUAUGUAGUGUAGCGGUGAAAUGCUUAGAGAUUACAUGGAAUACCAAUUGCGAAGGCAGGUUACUACUAAUGGAUUGACGCUGAUGGACGAAAGCGUGGGUAGCGAACAGGAUUAGAUACCCCGGUAGUCCCUGAGCGGGCUGGCAAGGCGC
rnacentral:rRNA from 1 species